UACAGAGGUCUCAAGCGUUGUCCGGAUUCAUUGGGCGUAAAGCGCGUGUAGGCGGCCAGGUAGGUCCGCUGUGAAAACUCGAGGCUCAACCUCGAGAUGUCGGCGGAAACCAUCUGGCUAGAGUCCGGAAGAGGAGAGUGGAAUUCCCGGUGUAGCGGUGAAAUGCGCAGAUAUCGGGAAGAACACCCGUGGCGAAGGCGGCUCUCUGGGACGGUACUGACGCUGAGACGCGAAAGCGUGGGGAGCGAACAGG
rnacentral:rRNA from 1 species